CACGUAGGGUGCGAGCGUUGUCCGGAAUUAUUGGGCGUAAAGAGCUCGUAGGCGGUGUGUCGCGUCGGCCGUGAAAACCUGCAGCUUAACUGUGGGCUUGCGGUCGAUACGGGCAUCACUGGAGUUCGGCAGGGGAGACUGGAAUUCCUGGUGUAGCGGUGGAAUGCGCAGAUAUCAGGAGGAACACCGAUGGCGAAGGCAGGUCUCGUGGGCAUUAACUGACGCUGGAGGAGCGGAAAGCAUCGGGGAGCGAACAGG
rnacentral:rRNA from 1 species